UCUGUAUGCGCUCUUUUAUACUGCAUGUAUUUUAUGCUGUAUAAUAACGAUGGUUUCUACAGCUGUGGCAUCAUAUUGAUGUUAUUAAGAGAGUGAUUGGGUGUGGAAUGCACCAUCCGCUACUGUAAAGAGACAAUCAAUAACACUGUGCAGAUGUAUUGUGUAUUUUAUUAUUUUAUUUACAAAAAUAUACAAUGCUAGAAAUUCAAUCUAUUAUAAUUGAUUUGAGGUGAUCAAAUUUUUUGGCUUUAUGUGAGAACAGAGGAAGCUGAUCUGCUUUAGGCACUUGAUUAGGCUGGAGGAACGGGCUUAGUGAGGUUUUGCUUCCAUGAUUCCAAAGCCUUCAGAGCGACUUUGGGGUUGCUGGGUGCCAGAUCAUGAGUGGCAUAAACCAUUGCGAGAUGCACCUCCCACUGCAAAUCUGCACACAAAAUCCAUCAUAAAAUUAGGACUUGCUGAAGCACUUUCCUUUUGAUAGAGAACUAAAAAUCAGAGAAUAAAGAUAAAGAUUGAUAAAGGAUUAGUUUAUUUGAUCCUUUAGUGAUAUCUUUUUGUUUCCCAAACUCAGUUAUGCUUUUUCACAGAUCUUCGACUGAUGCUGCCAGAUUCUCCUUUAGGCCUUGUUGGCCAAGUCGCCCUGUUUGAGAUGGCCAAAGAACAUGCGUGAAAAACAGGAGAAUCCAGAAAUAAUUGUCAUUAACGAUGGAGUUAAGUGAAGAAUGCAGUAAAAGACAUGAAAAGUCCAUGAAAAUGUUUAAUGACUGUUCUGAUGACUGUUUUGAUGAGAAUCAGCUACUUACCGUAUCCCAGUGCAGAUAUUUGCUGAGCAAGUAAUAAACCUUUCCAUAUGCCUUCAUUUUGCACACGAUGUGAAUGGCUCUGCAUAAAGGGCUGUUACUGGAGAAGACACUUGGCCAUGCUGUCACCAUGACCAUUAUCAGUUUUGGGGCUUCAGAAAUUUCUGCAGAGGAAACAAAAUGAUACCACAGAUUUAAAAUACACUGUAUAGUAAGAAAUACAAAACCAAAAACAUUACACAAUGGGCAUUCUUUGUAUCAUCGUCCAUAUUAUUUUUAGGAUAUAUGUAAAGAAAUGUCAAUAUAAUCUCACCUUCUUUAAGAAGUCUGUAGGCGAGGGCAUGUGCUUUAUGAAAGUCUCCUCUCUUUUUACACAAGCCCACAUAAACCCUACAGAGAGACUGCAGGAGUUCAUGUCCCAUAGACUCUUUCUCCGCCGUGAUCUUGUCCAACACCACUUUCAGAAAUGUCUCUGUUACAACUAAAUGAGAUGGAAGAAAAAGAUCAACCAACAUCCAACUAAAGCAAACAUGUAUUCAGGUCAUGUAUUUUUAAAACAAAUAUUAGGAAGUUAAGACUUGACUGUAGAUUAGGUUUAGGAAAACUACUAGACUUUGCAUAAACCAAAACCUGGAGUAAACAUUUUACAUGACAAAUCAAAUCCACUGUUCAAUUUCAGAACAUCAGGACCAGUGAAUUAUGGAUUGAUUUUUAAAGACUUAAAUCCACAGCUAAAUAAUUGAAUGCACACUAAAUAAAACAGAAGAUAAUAACUGACCUUGUUUACACAAAACUUGGAAAUGACAGAUUUUUCUUCAUCUGUCAGAGAAGAAAGUUCACAUUUUCCUUUAAGUAGUGCAUCAAUCCAGUUUGGAGAUAAAACAUCAUAGCAGGAAUCCUGCAGUGUUUUUAAUGCACUACUGAUGAGGGAUUGUUUUGUGUGUUUGUGAGGUGCAGCAUCAAGUCGAGGCUUUUUAGCAGCACUGGGUGGUGGCCUGUCUGAUGCAGCUCUCUUUGCUCUCAGCUUCAUCAACACUUUAAUCUCGUAAGGAGCGUGAGACUGAGAGGAACCACCAGAUCCAGAGUCCACCCACAUCCAGCUCAAGUUCCAGCUGUGGAGGAGAAACCAGCUGCAGCUCAAGUUCCAGCUGUGGAGGAGAAACCAGCACAAGUUUAAAAUUCAGUUAAAGUUUCUUCAGCAUCUCAUCUUUUGCAUCUUUUGGCGGUAGAGGACGAUGAGUGGACGUCUCGUCUGCGGCGGUAGAGGACGAUGUGUGGACGUCUUGUCUGGGCGGGUUUAGCAACACUGGAGUUUGGCUCUGAAGCUGGAAACACACCUGCUCCCUGUCAGAAGAAAUGGUUUGAACUGUUUCAUAAGGUCUUAAGUGUUCCACCUACUGCAAGUGUUCCACCUGCUUUACUCCACUCCUACUGCUGUAGCGCCCUCUACCUCCACCCCCACCAUUGUACAGCCUGCACUUACAUAAUCAAUGCUCAUUAAUUAUUUUUAUAUUUUAUGGUCAUAUUGUCUUUUAUUGGAUAGAAGAUUAUUUGUGUUUUUUUCAAAAGGGAAAUCAGAUCUUUACAUUUCCAGCACGUCUUUUUUUAGUUUACAAAGUCAGGGUUUGGUGGAUCCUUCAGCAACAAUUCAGCAGCCAAAACUAAAGUAAAUGUACCAAUGCAGAUUCAUGUCAUUUAAAAAGACCUUCAUAUGUCAUUAUCAUCAUCAUCAUUAUUAUUCUUAAGUUCAUAAUAUAAAAUAUGUGUAUUUACAGCCUGGUAGUCAAAGUCCAUCUCUUUCAGCUAGUGAUUCAUCUGCAUCCAGUCCUUCAUCUGCAUCCAUGAUGCUAUUUUUGUGGAUUUAAAAUUUGUAUCUAUUGUUUAUUAUUUGGUUGUUUUUUUAAACCCACUUUGGAACUUUUUAAUCAUAAAUGUUUAUAUUUAUUGUUAAAUACCCCUUACUAAUAUG